UCCAGCGCAGCAGGACAGAUGAAGCAUCACCAGAUCGUCACUUCAAGACCCGUGGUUUUCAGUCAUGUGCCACGCAGAGCCAUAUUAUACUAGGACACGAGCCUGUUUCACUUUUUAUUAGAGAAUGUGCCGUGAGUGAAAUUGGCCUUUGCGUUUUUGAACGUCUUCGUGGCACAUGAGUGACAAAUGCUGGACUAGACAAGAAAGAUUCAAAAAGUGGAAGGAGUCCCAGUGCGUCCUCAAAAGCAACACCUACCAGUGGUGAUGCUGGUCUCCAGUGGCCAAAUGGCUGCAACCCAAGAACCUGCCGGUGGACAUGAAUGUUGAGUGAGGCAGUCCAGCUGAGGAAGGAGGUGUUUAAAGCCUGUUUGAAAAUCAAAAGAAAGGUAUCCCAUCAAAGAGGCCGCAGGGGUGUGAGGUGCCAGGGUCCCUGCUAUGAGCCUUCAGUCCUUUUACCCUAAGGGAGAGAAAGCUGUGUUCACUCUCCUGGCUUCAAGUGAACCCUAAACCCAGCAAUCCCCCAGGAACAUCUGGAAUAAGUUGGAGGAAGUUUCCAGGAGGAAGUCAGUUAGUCUACUCUGACCUGAAUAAAUGUCUGGUGGUUGGGUGGAUGCAUGGAAAAUUAAUUUUACAGCCACAUAAUGAGGAUUUCUCAGU